AUUUCGUUAUCUUUAAACUAGCUUCUGCCUGCAACUUCGUCCGCGUGGAAUAGUUACCUUGGGUUAACGCUAACUUUAACCCGCACUUAACUGUUUACG